UUCACCAUCAUAAUCGGGCAUUCACCAAAUGAUGGUGCCUUACCUUCCAUGCUGCAUAUGGCCAAGUCUCCAAAUCUUCAUUCAUGGAAUGGUUGAUUUCCCACAAAUUAUAUCAGGCUAAACUCAUGUUGCUCAUCCAUACAUUGGACAUAUAAAAGCUCGAUAGACAAUUCUUCGCCAUGUACUUUCCAGUUCUAGAUUAGGUGGACCUCAAACAUCAGAUAGUGCUAAAGUGUCAACUACAAGUAAAGUCAUUAUUAUGGCCACCUACCUCCAUUAGGAAAGAUUCACUUCCAAAUGCCUUCAAAAUGGUUUGCUUAGAAGAGUUUUACCAACAGUAGUGAAUUUCUCAACUGCCAGCCUCGUCACUUAAAUGGAGACAAGCUAAUUACCAGACAGGAUGGCUAGAGGUCAUUAAAAUUGAAAUUUAUGACCAUGA